rnacentral:hammerhead_ribozyme from 1 species
AUUCAGAUGAUGAGCCCUCAAUAGGACGAAACGCGCGUCCUGGAU